UUCUGAGGGCCUUCGCGGGAAAGAAGUAAGAAAGGAAGUGCCCUCCCUUUCUCCAUUUUUCUUCGAUUCUAAUAUUAAACCCCAGUGACAAGCUCGGAAACCCCUGGCCUUCCCUCAGGGGUUGAUUGGUGUGGUCAUUGUUUCAGUUUGGUCUUCGUUUUAACUCUGGCUAGAGACUGGAUCAUUUCCCCUCUUCUAACCCUUUGUUACUUGGCAAAGAGAUCAGGAGGCAAGAGGAGAAUUCUUCUGCUCUGUUUUAUUUGAGCCUCGGCUUUGUCCAGGUGCUUGGUGCUACGAGGCCAGGUGUGUUGGCAGGGUGUCCCACAGGAGGCCGGUGACACCCAAGGGCUGCUGACUGUUCAGUGAAAUGUUUACUUGAUUUUUUUUCUUUUUGUUUCAAAACAUACAAUUGCACUUCACUUGGCUUGUCGCACUGGUGUGCACCUCAGUGUUCGCGUGGUAAGAGGAGAAUCAUCAAGCGUGACACAGAAGCACAGAAAAUGGUCCCAAGGUCAUGUGUGUGGAGUCCUGCUCUAUGUGGCAAGUGCAGGUGUUCACUCUUUCAUACUUCUUUGGGUUGCCAGCCUGGCUUGCAUUUUGAACUUCUACACAGGAGUUCUGGGAGCUAGGGAUAUUAUCUGCACUUCACCUUUGAGAAACACCCUUAAAUUGGCAGAAUCCUGCCCCAGGAACAAGUUGUUCACCAUAUUGCAAAGGAUGGAUGCAUUCUGCUCUUGGACGUGAGGCCAAGCAGGAGACUCAGUAAUGGGACGGAGGGAGAAGAGAUUCUCGUUCUAUGACUCAUUCUACAACUGCCAACAAUAAAAAUGGUUGAUGUAACCACAUCAUUCAUUAUCACGAGAUCAAACAAGCCUACCAUACUUACUCAGAAUUAACUUCAAGAUCAACUAAAAACCUACUUGAUUGAGCCAAAGAGUUUGGCUUUAGUUUCAGAGGAUUGGGGGCCAUAGUUAUUCUGAAACAGGCUGAGUGUUUCAUGAGCUCCCUGGACCAUUUGCCACAUUUCCAUGGCUUUGUGGCAAAGGGGACAAUCACAGGUUUCAGUUAGAUUGGAGCAAUGUUCAAGGGCUUGAACUUGGAGCCUGUUAGAGCUACCCCUGUGGUUUCAUGGACAGAAAAGAUAUCAUUAGGGUUGGAGAAAGAACUCAAGAUGGAAUUGAUGGAAGGGAAUGAUAAGUUAUUGAGGAUUAAAUUUUAAAUUAUUGACAGACCUAAGGGUGUCAUGCCAAAAAGCGUAUGAUACAUAUGCUGUAUUAGGCUCUCUAGUACUUAAGUGUAGUUAUUUUCCUUAACACUGAGACCAGACCCCUGAAUUCUUGAAAAUAGUUAAGCCACAGUCCAAACCCAGGAUUUUUAUAUAAACUCAAAAGCACAGGAUGUGAGCCCAGGUCAUGACCAAUCUUAAGAAUGCUGGCUCUCCUUUCAUGACCUCAUAUUCACAUCACAAAGGUUAUAUUUCUGUUCAAGAAGACAAUGUAGCAGAGCGUUCUAGAAUGAAAUGAAGUUUUGUGGUGUGUCAGGUCUUUCUGUUUUUCUGACUCCUGCCAUAAGCAAGUGCUCCCCGAAGAGACAUUUAUUACAACCAGGCUACAGACUCAGAGUCAAUAAAAUAUCUGAUUAUAUGACACUGGAUGAAGACAUACUGGAGUCAGCCAAACACGCCUGCGGUCCCCAAGAUGAGCCAUGCAUGAAAUGUGCACACAGCCUUGUCACCCGUCCAUUUCCAAGCUUCACCUGAGCACUUCACUUAUUCCUGCUAGGCAUGGGCCAGGCCCCACACCCACCUUCUCACCCGACCACCAUGGCCGGCCCGGGUCACUCUGAGUGAUUGCCACACGCCGAGAUGGAACAACGCAGAGAUUAUGUGUUUGUGCACACAUGGAGCAAAUAAAAGUGGGCGUCCAAGGGCAA